rnacentral:pre_miRNA from 1 species
GAGCUCAACCGAGCCGAGGAGGAGGCCAUGCGUGCGGUGGCUGUGGAGAGCCUGCAUACAUUGCCUCCUAGGCUUGGCGGAGCAGC